GGUACCUCUAGCAGAGGAUGUUCACUUCCUCUGGAGCGUAUAGAUGAUGAAGUAUAACGAUGCAUAUGAACUUGCUCAAUAGUAGUGCAAGAUGACAAAUGUAAAUUGGGCUGAUAACGUGACAUGGACUUCUCUUCCGGAAGUGGAGGAUAAUAUGAUGACAAAGGAGCUGAAGAACCAACAGAACCUGGAAACAAUGAGGCCGAAGUUCUAGGAGGUGAAGAUGAGACAAGACGUUCAUGCAAAGGGGGUUCCAAUGGAAGAGGGGGUGGAGGAGAAG
rnacentral:misc_RNA from 1 species